AUGGUUAAUAACCAACAGCGGAACCUGGAUGCUCAUAUUGGCUCCUACAUAUUCUAUGAAGAUCUUUGUCGGUCAAACCGCAUAACAACAUACGUUGUUCCCUUUGUCAUCAGUAUGUUACUUGCCAGAGAUUCGAUCGUCGGUAUCUCAAUACCUAGUUCAAUCUCGUUAUCGGCAAGUCUCUUUACUCGUUCCGUAAUGCAUCAUCUCGUAACUAACUCAUUAGUCAUAUUGCUUGCAAGGCUUAUAGUGAUGUGCGUUACCGAGAGGGCCCAGAGAUACCUCUCCGACAAUCAGAGUGACAAAUCCUAA
rnacentral:rRNA from 1 species